GACGAACGCUGGCGGCGUGCUUAACACAUGCAAGUCGAACGGAAAGGCCCUGCUUUUGUGGGGUGCUCGAGUGGCGAACGGGUGAGUAACACGUGAGUAACCUGCCCUUGACUUUGGGAUAACUUCAGGAAACUGGGGCUAAUACCGGAUAGGAGCUCCUGCUGCAUGGUGGGGGUUGGAAAGUUUCGGCGGUUGGGGAUGGACUCGCGGCUUAUCAGCUUGUUGGUGGGGUUGUGGAUUACCAAGGCUUUGACGGGUAGCCAGCCUGAGAGGGUGACCGGCCACAGUGGCCCUGGGAUAGGGCCAGGACGCCUACGGGAGGCAGCGGUGGAGAAUAUUGCACGAUGGGCGGAGGCCGGAAUGAGGGACGCCGCGUGCGGGAUGACGGCCUUCGGGUUGGAAACCGCUUUCGCGUGUGACGAAGCGUGAGUGACGGUAAUGGGUAAAGAAGCACCGGCUAACUACGU
rnacentral:rRNA from 1 species